AUGCAAGCUGCCGGAGCUCGCGACGAUAAGGUGCUUGCGAAUUACUUUCCGUUGGCUCUUAAACCCAACGCCAUGUCAUGGUUGAUGCACUUGCUGGUAGACUCUAUUUCCUCCUGGUCGGAUUUGUGCCAUGAGUUCGUGGGCGCCUUUACUAGAGGCCACCAAGCCCAUGGCCAAGCAAGCGACCUGCACGUCGUUCCCCAGAAAGGAGGCGAGAGUCUCCGCAAGUAUAUUCAGUGGCUCAGCCGGGUACAAUACAAUAUCCCUGAUGUUCACCCUGCCGCCAUCAUCAGCGCGUUCCACCAGAACGUGCGUAACCGCAAGAUGCGCGAAGAGCUGGCAAUGAACAAGGUGAGAGAUGUAGCAGAACUCUAUGUUCUUGCUGAAAAGUGUGCCCGAGCCGAAGAGGGAAGGAAGUACCCCGGCGAAGAUGCCGGCGUGGAAACCGACUCCUCAGAUGAGGAUACUACCACCCCGGCGAAGAAAGGCCGGCGCCGCAACAGGAAGCGCAAAGGAAAAGCCGUGCUUGCCGUCGAGGGAUCCGAAGACGCUGGCUCCACCAAGAAAACCAAGGCAGAUGACCCCGGCAAGGAGGUUGCCGGGUGUGUCGCCUGCCAGGUCUUGGCGGCUGCCGAGAAGCCGGGAAACUCCGACAAGCGAUACUGCAAGAUCCAUCGCACCAAGGGCCAUGCUCUCCAGGACUGCCGACAGGUUGAGCUCCUCGCUGAGAAGCAGAGGGCUGAGUAUGAGAGGCGGGACAAGGAGAAGGGCCCAGAUGGUGCUGAGUGUUCCGGCAAGAAGCGUGAUGGCCAGGCGGGCCGUCGCAGCAAGGAUAAGCAACAUGAGAGGCCCGCCCGGGGCCGUGACAGAAAGCCAGAAGACGACGAUCACGAAGAGGACGACGAGUCCGGCGACCAAGAGUUUCAUAAAGCUAUAGAGGCCAUGUGCAUCGACGGCGGCGCCUCGCUGCACACUUCUCACCGCAGGCUCAAACAGUGGGCGUGA
rnacentral:rRNA from 1 species